AAUCAGUGAGUAUUUUUGUGGUAAAGAGUUGGAGAUUUGGUGUCCUGAAGUUGAGAAUCACCCAUGUUCUUCAGCCUUUGAUUUUGAUCGGUUAAUUCGUGGUUAGCUUGAAGAGAGACAACCAGUCAAGUUUAAUUAGUUGAGUAAAACCGAUGGCCAAGGAGAGUAUUCGGAUCAGCCGGAUCCUUGUGAUGAUUCUGAACCGAGAGUGAUCCAGAAGUGAAGUGUG